rnacentral:rRNA from 1 species
AGUGGCGAACGGGUGAGUAUCACGUGAGAACCUACCCCGAAGAUGGGAAUAGCCCAAGGAAACCUGGAUUAAUACCCAAUAAUACCGCAUGGUAAACGCUCCGGCGCUUCGGGAGGGUCUCGCGGCCUAUCAGCUAGUUGGUGAGGUAAUGGCUCACCAAGGCAUCGACGGGUAGCUGGUCUGAGAGGACGAUCAGCCACACUGGGACUGAGACACGGCCCAGACUCCUACGGGAGGCAGCAGUGGGGAAUCUUGCGCAAUGGGCGAAAGCCUGACGCAGCAACGCCGCGUGGGGGAUGAAGGCUCUCGGGUCGUAAACCCCUUUCAGCAGGGACGAAAAUGACGGUACCUGCAGAAGAAGCGCCGGCCAACUACGUGCCAGCAGCCGCGGUAAUACGUAGGGCGCAAGCGUUGUCCGGAUUUAUUGGGCGUAAAGAGCUCGUAGGCGGUUUGGUAAGUCGGGUGUGAAAACUCAGGGCUCAACCCUGAGACGCCACUCGAUACUGCCAGACUAGAGUCCGGUAGAGGAGUGUGGAAUUCCUAGUGUAGCGGUGAAAUGCGCAGAUAUUAUGAGGAACACCAACAGCGAAGGCAGCACUCUGGGCCGGUACUGACGCUGAGGAGCGAAAGCGGUGGGAGCGACAGGAUUAGAUACCCUUGUAGUCCACGCCGA